GAGUUUGAUCGUGGCUCAGAUUGAACGCUGGCGGCAGGCCUAACACAUGCAAGUCGAGCGGUAGAGAGAAGCUUGCUUCUCUUGAGAGCGGCGGACGGGUGAGUAAUGCCUAGGAAUCUGCCUGGUAGUGGGGGAUAACGUUCGGAAACGGACGCUAAUACCGCAUACGUCCUACGGGAGAAAGCAGGGGACCUUCGGGCCUUGCGCUAUCAGAUGAGCCUAGGUCGGAUUAGCUAGUUGGUGAGGUAAUGGCUCACCAAGGCGACGAUCCGUAACUGGUCUGAGAGGAUGAUCAGUCACACUGGAACUGAGACACGGUCCAGACUCCUACGGGAGGCAGCAGUGGGGAAUAUUGGACAAUGGGCGAAAGCCUGAUCCAGCCAUGCCGCGUGUGUGAAGAAGGUCUUCGGAUUGUAAAGCACUUUAAGUUGGGAGGAAGGGCAGUUACCUAAUACGUGAUUGUUUUGACGUUUACCGACAGAAUAAGCACCGGCUAACUCUGUGCCAGCA
rnacentral:rRNA from 1 species